rnacentral:lncRNA from 1 species
UGCAGGCACGUGUAAAUUGUCAUCAUCCUUGGUUGGAUGGGGCAGGCUGAGUGAAUCUGUGGACUCUCUCUUGCUUCUGCUUCAGUAUCUUCAGGAUGAUGUUCUGUCCUGAGGAAGGUCAGAGAACCCAGGUACAAUGCAGAUAACUCUAUUACCUAAUCCCACCUCCUCUCUGUGGGACCGUCCCCACUCCCACAGCUGUGGUUCCAGAAAGUUCUUUGGGUGCUGGUCCAGUAUUCACAGAUGGUAUGCUGCAGACAGCCAGUGGCCAGCCACCAAGGAGUCAAGAAUGUCAAAGGGACAUCAUGCCAGCAGCUUGGUGUUUCUCAUCCCGCUGGCCCAGCUACCAGGAAAACCAGAAGAAUGACUCAAAAGCACCUGCCUAUCUUGAACAUGCCUGAACACAGAUACCAUGGUCACCUCAGACAGAUGGGGCUUGCCAAGCUGAGGUUCACAUAUGGGGAGGCCUACAGUUUGGGAAGGAU